rnacentral:rRNA from 1 species
UACAGAGGGUGCAAGCGUUGUUCGGAAUUAUUGGGCGUAAAGGGCGCGUAGGCGGUGCGGUAAGUCUGCAGUGAAAUCUCUGGGCUCAACUCAGAGUCUGCUGUAGAAACUGCCGUGCUUGAGUGUGGGAGAGGUGAGUGGAAUUCCCGGUGUAGCGGUGAAAUGCGUAGAUAUCGCUUGGAACGCCAAAGGUGAAAACAGGUCGCUGGGAGUGCGCCGACGCGUGAG